rnacentral:rRNA from 1 species
UACGUAGGGUGCAAGCGUUAAUCGGAAUUACUGGGCGUAAAGCGUGCGCAGGCGGUUGUGCAAGACAGAUGUGAAAUCCCCGGGCUCAACCUGGGAACUGCAUUUGUGACUGCACGGCUAGAGUGUGUCAGAGGGGGGUAGAAUUCCACGUGUAGCAGUGAAAUGCGUAGAGAUGUGGAGGAACACCGAUGGCGAAGGCAGCCCCCUGGGUCAAAACUGACGCUCAUGCACGAAAGCGUGGGGAGCAAACAGG